rnacentral:lncRNA from 1 species
CUUACUGGAAAUAUGGUCAGGGAUGUCGGAAAGUCACCCAAAACAUCCACUGAGUGAGGAUCGAGCUACCGGAUAGCUGUAAAACCUUAGGUUCAACCACCAGAAACCCUAGAAGCUGGUAAGUCACCAAGAAUCACCCAAAAAUCACCGGAAAAUCUCCCAUAACGUUCGAGUGAAGAAGAUAUACUCAGAUAUCACGAUGAAAGUCUCAGAAAAGCAUCCGAUUUAGAUCGGAAUCGUCAUCGACCACAUGCGUCAGAAACACCCCCAGAAAUCUCAAACGAGACUUCAACCAAGAUAACAAGAUGCAGAAAAACAUAGUCGGAUCAUUGUUUAGGCUCUAAUACCAUGAUAAGAAUGGACCUUGGGCCUAACUCAACCCCAAAAGCUAGCUUAUGAGGUGAGGAUUUCCCAAGCCAUAUAAGGAGACCAAUGACCUCAAAUCCUUCCGAUGUGGGGCAACUCAACACCCCAAUUCACGCCCAGAUCUCUGGAGCGUAAACAACAUAAAUGGGGUUCCAACAUCGGUAACAAUAAUUGGGAUGGGCCUGGCUCUGAUACCAUGAGAAUAUUAAGAUUAAACUGAAGAAUCAUGGAGAAUAUAAUGAGAGAAACAAGAGAGAGAAAGAUGUAGUUGAGAGAAGGAUCGAGAAGAUCCAGAGAGAAGAUUUUAUUAAACACAAAAU